CCUACGGGGGGCAGCAGUGAGGAAUAUUGGUCAAUGGCCGGAAGGCUGAACCAGCCAUGCCGCGUGAAGGUCAGUGCCCUAUGGGCGUUAAACUUCUUUUGUGCGGGAGCAAUAAUGGUCACGUGUGGCCAGACGAGAGUACCGUACGAAUAAGCAUCGGCUAACUCCGUGCCAGCGGCCGCGGUAAUAAGGGGGGGGAGAGCGUUAUCCGGAUUUAUUGGGGUUAAAGGGUGCGUAGGCUGGGAGGUAAGUCAGCGGGGAAAUUCCGCCGGUCAACGGGGUGACGUGCCAUUGAUACUGGCGUGCUGGAGUGCGGAUGACGUGGGAGGAAUGUGUGGUGUAGCGGUGAAAUGCAUAGAUAUCACACAGAACACCGAUUGCGAAGGCAGCUCACGGAUCCGCGAUUGACGCUGAUGCACGAAAGCGUGGGUAUCAAACAGGAUUAGAUACCCUAGUAGUC
rnacentral:rRNA from 1 species